rnacentral:rRNA from 1 species
UACAGAGGAUGCAAGCGUUAUCCGGAAUGAUUGGGCGUAAAGCGUCUGUAGGUGGCUUUUUAAGUCCGCCGUCAAAUCCCAGGGCUCAACUCUGGACAGGCGGUGGAAACUACCAAGCUGGAGUACGGUAGGGGCAGAGGGAAUUUCCGGUGGAGCGGUGAAAUGCGUAGAUAUCUGGAGGAACACCGGUGGCGAAGGCGACAUCCUGGACCGGUAUUGACGCUGAGGCGCGAAAGCCAGGGGAGCAAACGGG